GAACGCUGGUGGCAUGCUUAACACAUGCAAGUCGAACGGUACAGGACUAGCUUGCUAGUUGCUGACGAGUGGCGGACGGGUGAGUAACGCGUAGGAAUCUGCCCAUCUGAGGGGGAUACCAGUUGGAAACGACUGUUAAUACCGCAUAGUAUCUGUGGAUUAAAGGUGGCUUUUAGGCUGUCGCAGAUGGAUGAGCCUGCGUUAGAUUAGCUAGUUGGUGGGGUAAGGGCCUACCAAGGCUACGAUCCAUAGCUGAUUUGAGAGGAUGAUCAGCCACAUUGGGACUGAGACACGGCC
rnacentral:rRNA from 1 species